GUCCCUCCCUCACCCCCCACACCACCUCUAUUCUUGUACAUAGCCUUGUCACCUCCCGUAUUGAUUACUGUAACUCUCUCCUCUUUGGUCUCCCCCAGAAAUCCCUCCAUAAGCUCCCACUGGUCCAGAACUCAGCUGCCCGUAUCAUCUCCCAAACCCCCUCUUUCCACCACAUCACCCCCAUCCUAGAACAACUCCACUGGCUUCCAAUCAACUUCCGUAUCAACUUCAAAAUUCUCCUUCAUACCUUUAAAGCCAUCCACAACCUUGCCCCUCCCUACCUGUCUGAUCUCCUUCACACUGCCACCUCCACCCGCUCCCUCAGAUCCUCCUCUUCCAUCCACCUCACUGUCCCCUCUGCCCGGCUCACCACCAUGGGGAGCAGAGCUUUCAGCCGCUCUGCUCCCAAACUCUGGAACUCACUCCCACCUCACAUCCGAAAUAUUGACUCCCUCCCUCAGUUCAAAUCCUCUCUCAAAACCCACCUUUUCAGGAUAGCAUUUUCACUGUAGUUGUCAUGUUUUUUACUUGCACUUUUAAUGGUUUUGUUAUUUGUUUGCCCUUGUUUUAAAUUGUUUUAAAUUUGUAAAGUGUCCUUGAGUGACCUGAAAGGCGCUGUUAAAUAAAAUGUAUUAUUAUUAUUAUUAUUAAAAACAUUUCCACGUUUUUUGGACGUUAAAGGACUAGUAAGUCAUACAUUUUACAUUUUCAACUAGUUUUCUAGUCUUUUAUCAUUGUUUUGCUCACUUUGAUGGUAGCAGUUAAAUAUGUGAUCAUUGGUCAUCCCGGUCUCCUGGUAUUUCCCAUAUUGCUCAAAAUUACCUCUUUGUAUCAUAAAAGGAAAUAUUUAGAGCCAAUCAGCCCAUAUCCCUGUUCUUUGAAACUUCAGGGUGCUGUUGGGAGCUAUAGGAAGGACAGCAUUUGGUGCAACGUAGACUAAAUGUAACACUUUUGUAUGAUAAACAGGUCAAUCAAGACUUCCUGCUGCUGUUUGGUGCUGAAACAGCCACCAAGUUGCUUGAAAAGUGGGACACCUCAUUCAAGCCAAAAGUCAUCAAAGAGGCCAAACAGCUGACUCCGUCAACUGACCUGUGUCAUUUGCUAAAAGCUGCAGAGAAGCUUGCAGAGAAUGAUGACAAUGACUGGGACAGUGACAUGGCUUCUGUGCUGCUACUGCUUCAUCUUUUGCCACCUUCAGCUGGACGGAAGAGGAGGACCAAAAUAAGUCCAAGGGAUGCAGCAGACAAAAUGGUGCACUUUCACAAGUCAUGCUGCAGCAUCGAUGAACACCUGCAAGAAAGAGAUGGCAAACCAUACAUCCUUGCAGUCGGCCGAACCCAGAGCAGGAUUGACACCUUUUACAUCGCAGUGGACAAACAACUCAUCCCCUGCCAAGCCACCAGCUCACUGGGUGCUUUUGAUGAACUUUUCAAAUCCCACUACGCGUUCAACUUAAAUUACGACGAGUCUCUGGUUCAUUUCUACAGUUUUGUGCAGACUACCAUUUUCAACAUUGACGCUACCUCAACAGACGAGUCACCGCGUGUUCGUGAGUUGCGUGCUACAAUUUUGAAUGAGAACAAUGUUUAAAUGUUUCAUCUGUCAAUCGCUGCAUAUCAGCAGUCAGGCUUUGAUAAGUCAUUUGCGACUAGGCCACAGUUUUUAUCCAAGCACCAAAUUUAAGUUGGCUUGUUCACAAGAAAGUUGUAGGCAUCAGUUCACGUCAUUUUCUGGUUUUAAAAAACAUUUAAAUAGUGUUCAUAAUGAAGAUUGUUGUCAAAGUGGUGAUGCAGAAACCUCAGAGUCAUUUCAGGAUGAUUUUUUCAUUCAGGAUGAAGUUGCGGAAACAAGUGUCACACAGAGCCUUGAGGCUGGUUGUUCUGAAAACAAUGGAUCUGGUCAAAGAAUGGAAGAAAAAACGAAAUCCAUUUUAACUACUAUUGUUGGUAAACUCAGUGGUAGUGAUUUGGCAAAUAGUUUUGUGACAUCACUUGUUAAUAAUUUGGAAGAAUUUGCUGAUGGACUGCACUGUCAGUUUAAGCAAAAAGUACUCUCCGUUGUGCCAAAAGAUAAUCCUGUAAGGUCUACAUUGGAAAAAUGUCUUGAGACUUUUGACAACCCAGUUGAGGGCUUUGAUACAGAAGCUAAAAGAAAGACAUAUUUCAGUGCAAAAUGGGGAAUUGUCGAGCCAGUGGAAAGAACUUUAGGAAUUCGUUAUGAUACAAGGUUAAAUAAAAAUACAGGAACUUAUGACCAGGUACCAGUGAAAGACACUUUUGUGUACAUUCCAAUUUUGGAAACCAUCAAAUUUAUCUGCCGCAAUACUUAUAUUUGCGAGCUGCUGGCUAAACCAAGUGUAUCAAAAAGAAGAACGAUAUGAUGACUUCUGUGAUGGAAGUUAUUUUAAGUCUCAUCCAUUGUUUUCAAAACAACCAAUAUCUUUGCAAAUUCAACUGUUUUACGAUGACUUUGAGACAGCUAAUCCACUUGGUUCCAAACGUGGGGUUCACAAAAUUAGUGCAAUGAACUUUGUCCUCAGAAAUCUGCCUCCAAAGUAAAAUUCUGCAUUGAUGAACAUUCAUUUGGUUUCAUUGUUUCAUGCAGAAGAUGUGAAAAAACAUGGCUUUGAUCCUAUUUUACAGCCACUGAUUGAUGACAUAAAAUUAUUGGAGCGUCAUGGCAUUGAUUUACCCUUCUCAUCUGAAAAGGUCCAUGGCACUAUAUGUCAGAUAACUGGGGACAACUUGGGGAUGCACACAAUUUUGGGUUUUGUAGAGUCUUUCAGUGGACGUCACUACUGUCUUUGUGUUUAAUUUCAAAAGAAGAUGCGCAGAGUGUGUAUACUGAGGAUGAUCCAAAGAUAGUCUUACGAGGGAAAGAGCUUUUUGAAAUGCACUGCAGAGAGUUGCAAUCCGAUCCUCAAAAGCUGCAUGUGUUUGGAUUAAAAAAAGAAUUCAACACUGAACAGUUUACAGUUCUUUCAUGUUUGCCAGACAUAAUGCACGACAUUCUUGAAGGGGUGGCACAGUAUGAGAUAAAGUUGCUCUUGGAAAAUCUUUCCGACAAUUUUCUGCCAAAACCUGCUCUUUUGUCACGGAUCUAUGCUUUUGAUUAUGGCUACUCAGAGCGCAAAAAUCGUCCAACAAGGGUGAACUUGGACAGUCCUGGCAAUAGUAUAGGCCUCAACUCCAUUCAGACUCUUUGUCUAAUAAGAAACGUUCCUUUAAUUUUUGGUGACAUUGUGCCAGAAGGAAAUCAGAACUGGACCUUGCUAUUGCUUUUACUACAAAUAAUUAUCAUCAUUUUCUCUCCAUCAGUUUCAAUUGGCAUGACUGUGCAUCUAAAGCAUUUAAUAAUGGAACACCAUUACUUGUUCAAACAGUUAUAUCCAGGGAGAAACCUGAUUCCCAAACACCACUUUAUGUUGCACUACCCUACUGGAAAAUUGGACCCUUAAUACAUGUAUGGGGUAUGAGAGGUGAGGCUAAACAUAGGGUAUUUAAAAACACCCUUAAAAACUUUAAAAACAUUACAGUGUCACUUGCCAAAAAACACCAAGCAUCAAUAGCAUACAAGUGGGAGACAUGUCCUUUUAACAAUGUUGAAUAUGGGCCCUUAAAAUUGUUCAAUGUUGAAGAUGAGGAAAUGAUCACCCAAGGCUUGCCUGCUGCAGAAGACACUUUCUCUGCUAACUGGGUUAUUAUUAAUGGGACCGAAUACAGAGCAGGAUUGGUCAUUUGCUGUGGUUCGAAACAUGACAUGCCUGUGUUUUGUAGUAUAAAAAAAAUUGUUUUGGUCAAUAGUGUCACCUUCUUUUUAGUUAACAAGCUUUUUGUUGAAAAGUUCAAUGAGCAUUGCCAUGCCUAUCAAGUCUUUGAAACCGAUGAAAACAAUGUUAUUAGAGCAGAUUCUAUUGAAAUUUACAAGCCCUUUGAUUUACAAAGUUCUUAUGGCAAUGACAAUGGACUUUACAUUGUGCCAUUAUUUUAUUUGUAAAAGUACAAUGUUUCGAUGGUGCUUGGAAUGUAUUAAAAUUGUAAUGUGAAUGGAAUGUAU